AUUGAACGCUGGCGGCAGGCUUAACACAUGCAAGUCGAGCGGGGUGAGGUACUUCGGUACUGAUCCUAGCGGCGGACGGGUGAGUAAUGCUUAGGAAUCUGCCAUUUAGUGGGGGACAACAUUCCGAAAGGAAUGCUAAUACCGCAUACGUCCUACGGGAGAAAGCAGGGGAUCUUCGGACCUUGCGCUAAAUGAUGAGCCUAAGUCGGAUUAGCUAGUUGGUGGGGUAAAGGCCUACCAAGGCGACGAUCUGUAGCGGGUCUGAGAGGAUGAUCCGCCACACUGGGACUGAGACACGGCCCAGACUCCUACGGGAGGCAGCAGUGGGGAAUAUUGGACAAUGGGCGGAAGCCUGAUCCAGCCAUGCCGCGUGUGUGAAGAAGGCCUUUUGGUUGUAAAGCACUUUAAGCGAGGAGGAGGCUACCUGGAUUAAUACUCUGGGAUAGUGGACGUUACUCGCAGAAUAAGCACCGGCUAACUCUGUGCCAGCAGCCGCGGUAAUACAGAGGGUGCGAGCGUUAAUCGGAUUUACUGGGCGUAAAGCGUGCGUAGGCGGCUGAUUAAGUCGGAUGUGAAAUCCCUGAGCUUAACUUAGGAAUUGCAUUCGAUACUGGUCAGCUAGAGUAUGGGAGAGGAUGGUAGAAUUCCAGGUGUAGCGGUGAAAUGCGUAGAGAUCUGGAGGAAUACCGAUGGCGAAGGCAGCCAUCUGGCCUAAUACUGACGCUGAGGUACGAAAGCAUGGGGAGCAAACAGG
rnacentral:rRNA from 1 species